UACGUAGGGUGCAAGCGUUGUCCGGAAUUAUUGGGCGUAAAGAGCUCGUAGGCGGUCUGUCGCGUCUGCUGUGAAAACUCGGGGCUUAACCCCGGGCCUGCAGUGGGUACGGGCAGACUAGAGUGCGGUAGGGGAGACUGGAAUUCCUGGUGUAGCGGUGGAAUGCGCAGAUAUCAGGAGGAACACCGAUGGCGAAGGCAGGUCUCUGGGCCGGUACUGACGCUGAGGCGCGAAAGCGUGGGGAGCAAACAGG
rnacentral:rRNA from 1 species